GGGUUGUGAGGUUAAGCGACUAAGCGUACACGGUGGAUGCCCUGGCAGUCAGAGGCGAUGAAGGGCGUGCUAAUCUGCGAUAAGCGCCGGUAAGGUGAUAUGAACCGUUAUAACCGGCGAUACCCGAAUGGGGAAACCCAGUGUGACUCGUCACACUAUCAUUAACUGAAUCCAUAGGUUAAUGAGGCGAACCGGGGGAACUGAAACAUCUAAGUACCCCGAGGAAAAGAAAUCAACCGAGAUUCCCCCAGUAGCGGCGAGCGAACGGGGAGGAGCCCAGAGCCUGAAUCAGCAUGUGUGUUAGUGGAAGCGUCUGGAAAGGCGCGCGAUACAGGGUGACAGCCCCGUACACAAAAGCGCAUGUGCUGUGAGCUCGAUGAGUAGGGCGGGACACGUGGUAUCCUGUCUGAAUAUGGGGGGACCAUCCUCCAAGGCUAAAUACUCCUGACUGACCGAUAGUGAACCAGUACCGUGAGGGAAAGGCGAAAAGAACCCCGGCGAGGGGAGUGAAAAAGAACCUGAAACCGUGUACGUACAAGCAGUGGGAGCACAGGUUUACCUGUGUGACUGCGUACCUUUUGUAUAAUGGGUCAGCGACUUAUAUUCUGUAGCAAGGUUAACCGAAUAGGGGAGCCGGAGGGAAACCGAGUCUUAAUUGGGCGUUAAGUUGCAGGGUAUAGACCCGAAACCCGGUGAUCUAGCCAUGGGCAGGUUGAAGGUUGGGUAACACUAACUGGAGGACCGAACCGACUAAUGUUGAAAAAUUAGCGGAUGACCUGUGGCUGGGGGUGAAAGGCCAAUCAAACCGGGAGAUAGCUGGUUCUCCCCGAAAGCUAUUUAGGUAGCGCCUCGUGAAUUCAUCUCCGGGGGUAGAGCACUGUUUCGGCUAGGGGGCCAUCCCGGCUUACCAACCCGAUGCAAACUGCGAAUACCGGAGAAUGUUAUCACGGGAGACACACGGCGGGUGCUAACGUCCGUCGUGAAGAGGGAAACAACCCAGACCGCCAGCUAAGGUCCCAAAGUCAUGGUUAAGUGGGAAACGAUGUGGGAAGGCCCAGACAGCCAGGAUGUUGGCUUAGAAGCAGCCAUCAUUUAAAGAAAGCGUAAUAGCUCACUGGUCGAGUCGGCCUGCGCGGAAGAUGUAACGGGGCUAAACCAUGCACCGAAGCUGCGGCAGCGAACGUAUCACUUAAAGCGAUUCAGCGGAUGACGAUUGACGGAGCGAAGCGACGUCAAA
rnacentral:rRNA from 1 species